AGGAUCAUUAUCGAAUUUUGAUUUCGAGGAGAAAGGGCAUCGAUUGUCGCUGGCUGGCUUUUCAGCAUGUGCACAUCUAUGCUUUCUCACCUCGUCUCAUAUCCCACACACCUGUGCACCUAUUGUAGGUCCUNGAAAGAGGAUCUAUGUUUUUUCUACAUCACACACGUCGUAUGUCUAGAAUGUAUUUGAUAACUUGUCGAUCAGGCUUGAUUGUCCUGGUCCCCAAGGUUCAAUAAAACCACUAUACAACUUUCAGCAAUGGAUCUCUUGGCUCUCGCAUCGAUGAAGAACGCAGCGAAUUGCGAUAAGUAAUGUGAAUUGCAGAUUUCCAGUGAAUCAUCGAAUCUUUGAACGCACCUUGCGCUCCUUGGUAUUCCGAGGAGCAUGCCUGUUUGAGUGUCAUUGAAUUUCUCAACCAUGCCUUUUGUGCAUGGCUUGGACUUGGGGGUUUGCUGGCAGCCAUCAGCUCUCCUGAAAUGCAUUAGCAAAGGAUGUGCUAGUCUCUGGACGUGCACGGCCUUCGACGUGAUAAUGAUCGUCGUGGCUGGAGCGUCCUCUUUCAGGGGACCAUGCAUAUGAAUUUGCUUCUAAUACAGCAGCUAGUUACUAGUCGGUCAUGAGCCUGGCGAACACAGCUGAGAACUUUUCGAACCGUUGACCUCAAAUCAGGUAGGACUACCCGCUGAACUUAAGCAUAUCAAUAAGCGGAGGAAAAGAAACUAACAAGGAUUCCCCUAGUAACUGCGAGUGAAGCGGGAUGAGCUCAAAUUUUGAAUCUGGCGGUCUUUGGCCGUCCGAG
rnacentral:rRNA from 1 species